rnacentral:rRNA from 1 species
CCCUUAGAUGUCCUGGGCUGCACGCGCGCUACACGGAUGUGUCCAGUAAGCACCUAACCUCUUCCGAAAGGAACGGGUAACCUUUGCAAAGCACAUCGUGAUGGGGAUAGAUUAUUGCAAUUAUUAGUCUUGAACGAGGAAUUCCUAGUAAGCACAAGUCAUCAGCUUGUGUUGAUUACGUCCCUGCCCUUUGUACACACCGCCCGUCGCUCCUACCGAUUGAAUGUUCCGGUGAGCUCUUCGGACUGCGCGGUCUGCAGUUUCUGCGUUCCGUGCGGAAAGUUGCGCAAACCUUAACAUUUAGAGGAAGGAGAAGUCGUAACA